GAGCGAUUCCGUUCGAAGCGUUACUUACGCUAUCGACCCUUGGGGUGUUCUGUAAUACCGUAUUCGAUUUGACGCUCAAGCUGCGUAAAAAAAUGUUGACAGCAUCACGCAGUUCCGUGUUCUUUCGUAGGUGGCUGAAGCCCGACGUGUACCCAUUGGUGGGCGCUGUGCUCACGGGUGUGUUUGCAGCGGUCUAUCAGUCGGUGCGGAAGCUCCAGUCGGGCCUCGAUGUGCAGCUGAACCGCGAGAUUCGUGGCAAGCAUCCGUUUGAUUAUAUUGAGAACCCGCCACCUGAACAUAUCGAGCGGAGCAAGCACGGUCUGAUGUCUUUCACACGCGGUAUGCGCGAGAGUAUCUUUCAUGCCGAGAGACGUGUUUACGAUGCCAAACACGGCAUGGCUGCGACGGGCGACCUCCACAGCAGUUAACGGUACUUGAAACUCCGACCCGGAUUCGAGAAGACGCCUCGAUGGUGUGGACCUGAGGCAAGAGAUCGACGGCGAAGACGACACCUAUACCCGUGAUAUCGUCCUCGAAUACGCAUGAUUCGUGGAUAUGCGGUAUGUGUGCUGUUCAGAGAGAAGUAACCAAAAUUCUGUUGGAGCUGUGAACCUGCGAUUUUCGAUUGUCUCGGGUGCAGGGCGGCGGCGGCGGCACGAUGCCAACUGAGGAGAUGCCGCGGGGCGCUUCGUGACCAUUGGCAUGGCAGCAACUCGUCUGGAUACGAUCCGAUCCGAUGCGAUGCGAUGCAAUGCGACGUCGCUCGAGUGUGGGAAUCCCGAGCCGAGGCAGCGAUUUUCCGCAGGACACUAGGACAAGCACGAAUGCGUGCAAUGCUCCCGCACGGCGCGAGGUCUCAAGCCCGAGCGCUGAAUAUGGCGCAUUGCGGGCGAAGCAUCCAGGUUUCUGACAAUCCUCGUCGGGUCUGGAGCGCGACUCGCGGUGAGCAUCGCGCGGCAUCGAACAAGGAAUCGCAUUCCCGCAAGGACGACGAUCUGAAGAAGAAGAAGAAGAAGAAGACGUGCACCACCGCCAUUCCUGUACAUCGCAUGGAUACGCGGGACACCACAUCACCUGCUGCGGAUGUUGCUCUGCCACCGGGUACAGUAGGGAACUAUGCCUGCGUCCCAAGAGCUCCAUCUGUGGACGACUGCUUGCGGCCUCUAGCUGCUAUGAAGGGCACCUCCUCAGCGGCCGUGCUUUUGCUCACCAGAAUCCUGCUGCGGGUAAUGCUUCUCGUCGAUGGAUACUCGGGUACGAGUCUGCUUGAGCCGGAGCGCGGCACCAUUACCGAGACACCGCAGGAGCGUGCGCGGCGAACUCGUUCGUGUCACACCCUCGAUGUCUGCCAUGGUACGCAGCGCAGUACUUCGGUAGCAAGUGCCGGGCACCAAAGGGCUUGCGAAACGCUAUCGCGAACGCGUAUCAAGUCCGGAUAUCGUCAAAGCGGUGCACCCAGCGCGAUUCUCGCACUGUGCGCUGCACGCGAGAAACCAUGCUCGGAUAGAUAUUGAGCAUGAUCCAACAAAGCAGCGCGCGUAUGCUGAAUAGAUGCAUCGACCGCAAACGCGACAUUUACCUGGUAACCAUUGACCUGUAUGGAGAAACCCCAUACGCAUCUCGAAAGGCCGCGGAUCCCCUGCAGUUCAUAUGCAUGCAAUUCGCACACACACACACACAAGACGAUGGUCGUGAACGGAGCUCUGGGGAGCAGCUUCAAAAGUCGACAUCCCAGUUGCUAUCAUGCGAAACGGACCGCGUUCGCGCAACCUCGAGAGAGCUCGGACCCGCACUCGCUGGAGAGCGCCCCAGCUCAUCAUCCGUACUUUGACGCUGCGCGUCUGCCGUGCCAGUGCUGCUCACGACAGGUGAACCAGGGUCCAGGGCGAGUUGAGAUACGUCGGGUAGAUCGGAGACCAGGUUGACUUGUGUCCGCUUGUUCGCCUCGGUCUUUUCAUCUGAGACGCUGUUGGUUCCGUUUCUGGCAUCGGCCAAUCCGUGAUCGGCCAGUGGAGAGCGCGGUACGCCUGGAAAGCGUUCAGGAUGCAACGCCGGAUCUACCAGGCGCUCGGCUGCGCGAUCCUCACCCUUGGAACGGAGCCAUUUCUUCCAUAACUGGACAGUCUCGGCAAGCUUGGACGGUAUAAAACUGCGAGCAAACAGCGCAGCCUCUGGAAAUCGCUGACUCUGAAUGAGGAUGUCCAAGCAGCCUUGUCGAUCGUGCAGGAGCAGCUUCGCCAAAAAUGCCGUAUUCGAUUCGCCUGCCCUGAGCGCAAUCGAGGCAACGUCGCGGAGGCCGGCGGCAUCGCCGCGCGCUACCUGCAACAACAGUAAACUGCUGGCAUCGUGGGCGUUUCGCAUGCAAAUUUCGGCCAGUGGGAGAUCAUUGUUGGCCAUUGCAGCUUCGGAGAGCUGGCGCCAACGAGUCUCACUGGGUGCUUGCUCCGCAAUGGAACGUGCAAGAUCCAGUUUGUUCAGAGUCAAGGCCAACUCAAAGCGAUAGUCGGUAUCCGUGGCAACCUCCAGCGCUGCCUGCUUGUAUCCGGCUCUCUCAAGGGACUGGGCGAGACGAUUGUGCUCGGCGUGCGGUAUUGACUGGAGCAGGUCGAGCGCUUCCCUG
rnacentral:misc_RNA from 1 species